AGUGAACGCUGGCGGUAGGCCUAACACAUGCAAGUCGAACGGCCGCACAGUAAGAGCUUGCUCUUACGGGUGGCGAGUGGCGGACGGGUGAGGAAUACAUCGGAAUCUACUUUUUCGUGGGGGAUAACGUAGGGAAACUUCCGCUAAUACCGCAUACGACCUACGGGUGAAAGCAGUGGAUCUUCGGACCUUUCGCGAUUGAUUGAGCCGAUGUCGGAUUAGCUAGUUGGCGGGGUAAAGGCCCACCAAGGCGACGAUCCGUAGCUGGUCUGAGAGGAUGAUCAGCCACACUGGAACUGAGACACGGUCCAGACUCCUACGGGAGGCAGCAGUGGGGAAUAUUGGACAAUGGGCGCAAGCCUGAUCCAGCCAUACCGCGUGGGUGAAGAAGGCCUUCGGGUUGUAAAGCCCUUUUGUUGGGAAAGAAAAGCAGCAGGUUAAUACCCCGCUGUUCUGACGGUACCCAAAGAAUAAGCACCGGCUAACUUCGUG
rnacentral:rRNA from 1 species